UCCCUGGUGGCUCAGAGGUUAAAGCGUCUGCCUCCAAUGCAGGAGACCCGGGUUCGAUCCCUCGGUCGGGAA
rnacentral:tRNA from 1 species